GGCACCUGGGAGUCCCACAGGCACCAGCGGUCCUGUCUGCGGUCCCAGGGCUGUUAGCUGCAAAGCCCCGGGAGGAAAAGAUAACACGAUGGAGAUUCAGAGAGGCAGCAGAGCCUGGAUUCCGUCCAGGCUUCAGGAUGUGCCAGCCGCACAGAGGGAGAGAGGGAGGAGCAGACCCCCCCACCAACGAGAGGAGUG